rnacentral:SRP_RNA from 1 species
GCCGGGCGUGGCGGUGCACGCCUGUAGUCCCAGCUUCUUGGGGGCUGAGGCAGAAGAAUUGCGUGAACCUGGGAGGCGGAGGUUGCAGUGAGCCAAGAUCGCGCCACUGCAUUCCAGCCUGGGCGACAGAGCAAGACUCUGUCUCUC